AGUGAUGCUACGCGAGGGAAAAGCGCCAAGGUGUCUGGGGGGGGGAAAAGUUGACAACUCGAGACGUGAACUCCGCCGUAAGAGAGGACACUUACCCUGGGAGAGGUGAACGAAAGUCAGGACGAAGACUAGCGACGUUCCCGAGGAGAAACCGGGCCCUGCGCUUUUUAUGAUCUGCUCCUCUGCCGCGCAUCUGCCAGCCUCACCGCUGCAAUUGGACAAUGGAGAGACGAGGAGGAGGAGGUGGAUGCAACUGGGAUGAGCUUCCUUUUCACAUGACUGUCACACUCUGGCCGUCACCAUGGCGAUGUGGCGAGAGGAAGGAACAAGAAGCUGAGAAAGGUUUGCCUUGUCCUCUUCCUGUGACAUUUAAACACACAUAUACUUUACAGACAGUCACUUUCAUAGGUUUUGGUUGCUCUAAUGAAUUACCUUGACCUAUGAGUUUUAUAUUUGCCAUGAACAAGCUUGUAAGUCAAUUUACUCCUAUAAUACCCCAGAGCGAAACAAGAUUGCACAGGCAGAUAAACAUCACAUACUGUAAGCGAGACCAAACAUCAAAACUCACUUCCCCUCUAUGCAGAGGUGAAAAGUUGAGCCUGUGCCCUCUGGUUCUUU